AGAGUUUGAUCCUGGCUCAGGACGAACGCUGGCGGCGUGCUUAACACAUGCAAGUCGAACGGUAAGGCCCCAGCUUGCUGGGGUACACGAGUGGCGAACGGGUGAGUAACACGUGGGUGACCUGCCCCGCACUUCGGGAUAAGCCUGGGAAACUGGGUCUAAUACCGGAUAGGACCGCACCGUGAGGGUGUGGUGGAAAGUUUUUCGGUGUGGGAUGGGCCCGCGGCCUAUCAGCUUGUUGGUGGGGUAAUGGCCUACCAAGGCGGCGACGGGUAGCCGGCCUGAGAGGGUGGACGGCCACAUUGGGACUGAGACACGGCCCAGACUCCUACGGGAGGCAGCAGUGGGGAAUAUUGCACAAUGGGCGGAAGCCUGAUGCAGCGACGCCGCGUGGGGGAUGACGGCCUUCGGGUUGUAAACUCCUUUCACCAUCGACGAAGGUUUUCUGACGGUAGAUGGAGAAGAAGCACCGGCUAACUACGUGCCAGCAGCCGCGGUAAUACGUAGGGUGCGAGCGUUGUCCGGAAUUACUGGGCGUAAAGAGCUCGUAGGUGGUUUGUCGCGUCGUCUGUGAAAUUCCGGGGCUUAACUCCGGGCGUGCAGGCGAUACGGGCAUAACUUGAGUACUGUAGGGGAGACUGGAAUUCCUGGUGUAGCGGUGAAAUGCGCAGAUAUCAGGAGGAACACCGGUGGCGAAGGCGGGUCUCUGGGCAGUAACUGACGCUGAGGAGCGAAAGCAUGGGUAGCGAACAGGAUUAGAUACCCUGGUAGUCCAUGCCGUAAACGGUGGGCGCUAGGUGUAGGGGUCUUCCACGACUUCUGUGCCGUAGCUAACGCAUUAAGCGCCCCGCCUGGG
rnacentral:rRNA from 1 species